rnacentral:rRNA from 1 species
CCAGACUCCUACGGGAGGCAGCAGUGGGGGAUAUUGCACAAUGGGGGGAACCCUGAUGCAGCGACGCCGCGUGGGUGAAGGAGUGCUUCGGCAUGUAAAGCCCUAUCGGCAGGGAAGAAGCAAGACGGUACCUGACUAAGAAGCCCCGGCUAACUACGUGCCAGCAGCCGCGGUAAUACGUAGGUGGCGAGCGUUAUCCGGAUUUAUUGGGCGUAAAGCGUCCGCAGCCGGUUUAUUAAGUAUAGAAUAAAACUUCGGGGCUCAACCCCGUCUCGUUCUAUAAACUGAUAGACUAGAGUGUGGUAGAGGCAAGUGGAAUUUCUAGUGUAGCGGUAGAAUGCGUAGAUAUUAGAAGGAACACCAGUGGCGAAGGCGACUUGCUGGGCCAUCACCGACGGUCAGGGACGAAAGCGUGGGGAGCGAAUAGGAUUAGAUACCCUUGUAC